GUUUCUGUAUUAUUAGGAAUAACAAUUUAUGACUCAAAUCAGCAAUGACCCAUCAAAACAUCUAAAAUGAAAAUUUGAUAAUCGACGAUUUCAGUAUACGUAUGUACACAAAAGCGAUUUAUCGUGUUGAACUAAAAAAAUUACGAAAAAGUCGUUAUUCACCUCAAAAGCUAACAAAACCUUUAAACAUACAUAUUCAGAAGGAAUGUAGUACAAUACUGUUGUCAAGUCUUUGCAUCGGAAAUAUACACAUUUAUUCUUUAACAAGUUGAUGGCAUAUUACGGGUUAUGUUCUUUUCGUUUAAUUUAUGAUGGCAUGAUAUCUAACCCCGAACGGGAGAGACUGUGCUUGAUUUUCAUAUUCUAAAACCAGUUGUUGGCAGGAUACGGGUUAUAUUCUUCUCAUAUAGUUUAUGAUGGUAUGAUACUUAACCCCGAACGGGAGGGAUUGUGCUUGAUUUUCAUAUGAUGAAGACAUAAUCUUUUACCCGAAUAUAUGUUGGAAUACUACAUUUGUAAGUCAAUCUAAUUUUUUUUUUCGGCAUUCAAUGGUUGUUUCUAUGUAUAUUUCAAAUGUUACGAAACUAUCCGUCCGUUUUCAUGGUUUUUGUUUCUUGAAAUAUCAUGUUUAAUAAAUCCACCUUUGAUUACAUUUCAGUGAUAAAAAUCUAUAUUUCAUAAAUAUUAAAAAUACUAGUAUGCAAUUUACAUCAGGGUUUAUAUUUGAUGGUUUAUAUAUGAGGACAACUAGAAUUUACGAAUACCCGAAGGGGUGACAAAAAGAUCCCCUACUUCUCCUUACUACAUGUACCAUGCUUUUCAUGUUAUCGAAUAAUAUAUUUUUUUAUUAUUUCAAUCAAGAUAAUUUAAAAAUGUCAAAUUUGUUAAAUCUUAUCAGCCGCUUUGAUAUUAAAUAUUGAAUAUCAAAUAUCAAAUAAAGAACCGGUCGCUUACUUCAAAUACAUCUUUAAUGUAAAGUUUCGAAUGCUUAAACAUUAUAUAACAGUCAGUCGAAAUAACUUAUCAAUUAUUAAUAUUGUAUGUCAACACACAAGUGCUGACUAUUUUGGAUCUGAUUCUCUCAGAAACGAAAUGUCCAACAAUAGUGGCAUCGGCUAUGUGGUUAUAAAACUCAUCACAUAUAUCAGGCGAAAAACUUGGUACGCUAAACCUGCGUUUAUUCUGCAUCAAGAUAUAAAAGUAGAAAUCAAUAAGCAGUCAGAAUUCCAAACUGUUAAUUACCUGUUAUAUAUAUAUAUAUUUUUAAUUGAAUUAGUCAAGCUUACCACUAACGGAUUUGUACUAUAAUAAAUAACUUUUUUAUAUAAAUUAACCGAUUGAUAGUUAUUUUUUUUUAAUGUCCAUAAGUUUAAAAUCACCACAUCACGCUGAUAUGUUGAAAUAAAAGCACAACAAUCAAUAUUAAAACGGAAAUAUGUUAGAUAUAAGAUGCAAAAUAAACAACAACAUUUGUUUACCUUAUUUCAGAUUUCACAAAUUUAGAGUAUUGCUUUCAACUAUUAUUCAUUUUAAAAAGACGUCUUUGUCGUAUCUUUAAUACAUGUAAGCGAUAAGAUCAGAAACACCCACACGCGAGUUAAAAUUUCCGUUAUCUAAUUUCACAAUAACUGGUAUUGGUUAACAAAACAACUCUACAAUAUCAGGUAAAACGACACGAAGGGUUUUUAAUUCAUAGGAAGCAUUUUCUCCUUCAAAGAUACAUAUGAAAUAAUCCUGUGUUCAUAAUUCUGGAUAAUACCUAUAGAAACCCGACAAAUGAAGUAUUAUGAUAAUGUAAUAUCAACAUAUAUAAGGUGUAACAUAUUAUGUUAGUCAAGAAAGCACGCUUCUAAAAAACAUAUAUUUAUUAAUAGUUGAAAAUGAAGGUUUACACCAAAUUGUGAAACACAUUGUCUUUAUAUUUAUGGAAUACAUAUGGAACACAUUUUCUCAAGAGCCACUGCAUUUAUGGAUUGUUUUGGAUUGUAAAGGGAUAAUUCUACAAUUGGCCCAUACACUCAUGGAAAUGCUACAGUGUUAUCAUUCAUUGGGGCAUUGUCUGUGACUACCUACCAAAGUUAUUCUAACAAAAGAAAACAAGAGGAAUAGUUGGUUAACCUGACACAAGAAUUGUUGGCUGAAUUGAAAAGAAAGCAAAAGGACACAUUGACUGAGUUGUCAAGCAGCGAGGAGAAACUGAUAACUGAACAAGCGGAAAGGAUAGAAAAAGAAAAGGCGACGUUGUCUGAGUUAAUAGAAAAAGGAAAGAAUACGUUAACUGAAUUGAUAGGACAAUGAAAGAAAACCUUAUCUGAACAAUCUGAAACGGUAGCAAAGGAGAAGGCGGUGUUAGUGCAAUUCAUCAAACAAGAUAGGAAAAAACUAUAUGAGCAAGCUGCAGAGAUAGAAAAAGAGACGAACCCAUCAACCGAAGGGAAUAGAACGAUAAUGAGAUGUUAUUUGACCAAUCUGCAAAGAUGAAACAAGAGAAGGAAACCUUCAAUGAAAUUAAAGUAAAAGAGAAGAACGUGUUUACUGACUUGAUAGGAAAAGAGAAGGAAAAGCUGACUGAAUUGAUUAGAGAAGGGAAGAAGACUUUAAUUGAACAAGCUGAAAUAAUAGAAAAAGAGAAGGUAACAUUGGGACAAUUCACCGGAAAAUCGGAACAAACGUUGAAUGAACAGGCUGCAUGGAUAGAGAAAAUGAAGGAAACAUUUACAGAAUCGAUAAGAAAAGAGAAGGAAACUUAAUUUGACCAAUCUGCAAAUACGAAAAAAGAGUUAUAUACGUUAACUGAACAGGCUGCUUGGAUUAAAUUAGAAAAUGAAACUUUAACUGCACUAAUAGAGAAAGAGAAGGACAUGUUAAUUACACAAGCUGAAAGGAUAGAAAAAGUGAAGGAUGAUUGGGUUAAAUCAGUUAAACAAGCGAAGGAAACAUUGUCUGAAAACGCUGCUAAGAUGGGGAAAAAAGACAGAAACCUUAAUCGAUCAAACUAUAAAGAUAGAACGAGUGAAGGAUAGUUGGGUCGAAUUGGUACAAAAAAAGGAAAACAAGUUCAUUGAACAAACUGUACAGAUAGAAAAAGAGAUGGAAACGUUACUUGCAAAAUCUAAAAGAUGAGAAAAGUAAUGACGGAAAGCUGUGCAUAAAUUGGUAGGAAAAGAGAAGAGAAAAUAUACCGAACAAACUGCACACAUUUCAACUAAUAUCAUUCCUAUUUUGGUUUAGAGCGUUCGUCUUGCUCCUUCUUUAAUAUAAAGGGGUAUCAUUUUCAUUUGCAAUGUCUGUUUUCACAGAUGAUAGUUUUGUAAAUCCUUUGUACUGAAAAUUUUCACUCGGUCAAGUUCUAGAGUUAGAAAAUUUACGUGACAGAUAGUUUAUGAAUUAUCUUAUGCCUUAUGGGUAGACUAGAGUGAAUUGCAAAUUUUCUGAAGUGUUCUGCCAACUUAUUUGAUAUAAACAUACAGUUGAACCUUGAUAAAUCUAAGUCGAAAGAAUCCGACAAUACUAUCGACCUAUCCGAGAUGGCGAGCUACAUCAUGUUUACCCUCAUUCCAAUGUUGAAAUAGUGAUUUGUCAACCUGGAACGUUAAUGUUGAAGAUAUAUUUUUUUUUCCAUUUUAUGCAAAUUGAUAGCACUUAUAAUAACAAGAAUCUUAAUUUCAUAAAAUCUAAGCAAUUAACAACAGUACACAUCGAAUUUUCACAAGAUCAGGAAGUAGCAAAGAAGGGGAAAUUAUCGAAACGGAAUUAUAAUCUUCGCAGAUGAAAGUAUUACACUACCUCCUUCAUACUUAUGUGCUACUGUCUGUUAACUUCGAGUCUAUUUCUAUUAAUAAUUUAUUUGAAUAAAAGAUAGUGUGCAGUCUC